UUCUCAUCUGUAAAUCUCUGCUCCUCUCUCGUUCUCUUCCCCCUUUCUACUACCAUCAACAUCGUUAUCAACAUCAUAAACUCCCAAAUCCUUUUCCCUCUUUUUUUUCGAAGCCCUAGAAAUCUCUUUCUUUCUGAAGAGCCCCCGAACCCAAAACCUAAUGCUCGUCGUCGAUGAAGAAGAAGAUAGAAAAACAUGUUGGAACUAGGGUUAAUACCAUGGGGAAAAGAUGGGGUUCUAGGUCUUCUGUAAAGAACACAACCUUGAAUUUGAAUUUGUUUCUUCGUUAUGGAUUCCACGAAUCAACAUCAGAUCUCAGCAUCAUCCGUAGGAUGUAAGUUCUUUUGGUAUAAUCUCAUAAUACUAAUUCUGUUACAAAUCUUGAUGAUUCAUCAUAUUUCUGUGGUCAUUUCAGCUUGUUUUAAUAGUUCCAUUUUACUCAUGUAUUUCAAUGAUGAAUUAUCAAUUUUGUAUGUUCCCUGGAUGGCCUCAACUAUGUAUCAAUUUUGAUUGCAAGAUAUACAAAUGACUUCCAGAUUGUUAUGGCAGCGUUGCUUAUAGCCUGGGUUAAAGAUAUUUUGAACUCAGGGUUAUGGUUUCACCUUUGGAUCAUUUGUGUUUGUCGUAAUCGACUUGUUGAGCAUGUCUGAAGAGAACUAUUGGGGUGCCUUCUUGUUCGGAAAUUCUUUUUCCACAAUGAUCCGAAUUUUUGCAGAUUGGGGAAGAGGAGGUGUCCUUGGAUGCAGGAGAUUGCGUUUCAGUUUCAGAGCUACACAAGGUGGACUGAACAUUGGUCCUAAUCGUAGCUUUACCUAGAUGGUAAUUCUUUGAUCAGCCUGAAAUGUUUGGCGAGCCUAUCACACCCUCGUGCCUGCUGCACUAUGAAGGUGUAAGACAAGCUACAGGUCAAUGGCUUUCUAUUUUAGUUUGAUAAUCUUUUCUUCUCAAGUUAACUUUGUCAUGAUGGGUUUUCUUAUUGUUGCAUUAAGACCAAUUUCUGAUCUUGAAAAUGGAAUAUUUGGAGCCGGUUAGUAUUCUGAUUAUGGAUUAGUUACCCUCAUGCUUGCGAUUAUGCUUGAAUGGAUAAGAAGGGAUUAAGACUCUUUAAAUUCUCUGAAGAUCUACAAGGGUAAGGACAGUAGCCCACAAAUUUGGGAAUAUGUAGCACCAGUGACAGGGUAAAUACCUCCAACUAUCUUUAGAAAUAUGGGAAAUGCAUAUCUACGUGAGAAUUGUGGUAUUGAGUUGAAAUGAUACUCAUACUACACAUUUCUUCCACUUAUCUAUGGAGAUAACCCCUUCUUAUACGCUCAUGCCAUAUAUUCUUUUUCUUUUCUUUUCUUUUUCCAGCCUGUGAUUGUUUAUUCUUGCAACUAUCUUCUUUGUGUCAUAAUAUGUUGCUUUAGGCAAUCACUGCAAGCAUUGAACUCCCAAAAAUUAAUUUACUUGUUUAACAUUAUUUUCAGGCAUUGCAUGGUUAUUAUGCUGCUUCAGGUACUUACUACAAAGUCCAAGCCAUUAAAGACACAAAAUGGGUGUAAUGAAAAGACAUGGUAUGGAAGGAGGUGUCAUAUCUCAUGGUUCAUCAAAGUUCCAUAGAGGUUGUGGUUCUAUUGGUCAAAGUGAUGCCCCUGGUAAGGUUAACCAGAAAUUUGUGGUAUCUUUAGCUGACCCUGAGGAGUACUCUACCUUGUUCGAGAAACAUGAAGAGCAGGGAACCCGAGAAGAAGAGGCUGUUGAGGUCGAAGAUGAUUCCACUGAUAUGAGCAAUAAGUGUCGCCACUUACAAGGCUUUUUAUGAAGCAACAAGAAACUGUACUUGUUUGAGCAUGUAAGUAAUGAAUGAUAUUGAGCUUGUCUCCAGGUCCUCUGCCUUUGAAAUUGUAUCUACUGUACUGCUAUUACACUUAACAUUAGAACUGCAGAAUUUGUAUGUUCUAAAAACUUGGAACAUGUUUAUAUAUUUGUCAUUCUUUCGA